rnacentral:rRNA from 1 species
GGGGUGGGGUGACUGCGUACCUUUUGUAUAAUGGGUCAGCGACUUAUAUUCUGUAGCAAGGUUAACCGUAUAGGGGAGCCGAAGGGAAACCGAGUCUUAACCGGGCGUUAAGUUGCAGGGUAUAGACCCGAAACCCGGUGAUCUAGCCAUGGGCAGGUUGAAGGUUGGGUAACACUAACUGGAGGACCGAACCGACUAAUGUUGAAAAAUUAGCGGAUGACUUGUGGCUGGGGGUGAAAGGCCAAUCAAACCGGGAGAUAGCUGGUUCUCCCCGAAAGCUAUUUAGGUAGCGCCUCGUGAACUCAUCUUCGGGGGUAGAGCACUGUUUCGGCUAGGGGGUCAUCCCGACUUACCAACCCGAUGCAAACUGCGAAUACCGAAGAAUGUUAUCACGGGAGACACACGGCGGGUGCUAACGUCCGUCGUGAAGAGGGAAACAACCCAGACCGCCAGCUAAGGUCCCAAAGUCACAGUUAAGUGGGAAACGAUGUGGGAAGGCUCAGACAGCCAGGAUGUUGGCUUAGAAGCAGCCAUCAUUUAAAGAAAGCGUAAUAGCUCACUGGUCGAGUCGGCCUGCGCGGAAGAUGUAACGGGGCUAAACUGUGCACCGAAGCUGCGGCAGCGACGCUUAUGCGUUGUUGGGUAGGGGAGCGUUCUGUAAGCCUGCGAAGGUGUCCUGUGAGGGAUGCUGGAGGUAUCAGAAGUGCGAAUGCUGACAUAAGUAACGAUAA